UACGUAGGGAGCGAGCGUUGUCCGGAUUCAUUGGGCGUAAAGAGCUCGUAGGCGGCUUGGUAAGUCGGAUGUGAAACCUCCAGGCUCAACCUGGAGUCGCCAUCCGAUACUGCUAUGGCUAGAGUCCGGUAGGGGCCCACGGAAUUCCUGGUGUAGCGGUGAAAUGCGCAGAUAUCAGGAGGAACACCAAUGGCGAAGGCAGCUCGCUGGGACGGUACUGACGCUGAGACGCGAAAGCGUGGGGAGCAAACAGG
rnacentral:rRNA from 1 species